GGUUAAGCGACUAAGCAUUACACGGUGGAUGCCACGGCAGUCAGAAGACGACGAGGGCGUGCUUGUCUGCGACCAAAGCGCGCCAGGCACAGGUGAUAUGAACCGUUAUAGCCGGCGAUACCGAAUAGAGGAAACCUUAGUGUGAUUCGUCACACUAUCAUUAACUAGUCCAUAGGUUGUAAGGGCGAACCGGGGGAACUGAAACAUCUAUAAGUACCCCGAGGAAGAAAUCAGCAGAAUUCCCACUAAGGCCAGCGGCGGCGAACGAGGGGGAGGGCAGAGCCUGAAUCAGCAUAUUGUGUUAGUGGAAGCGUCUGGAAAGGCGCGCGAUACAGAGUGACGCCCCACGUACACACAAAAAGCAUGUGCUGUGAGCUCGAUAGUAGGGCGGGAGCACGUGGUAUCUAUGCAAGACCAUGGGGACAACAUCCUCCAAGGCUAUUGACUGACCGAUAGUGAACCAGUACCGUGUGAGGAAAGGCGAAAGAACCCAGCGAGGGUGAAAAAGAACCUGAAACCGUGUACUGUGCAAACGGUAGAGCCCCACCACUAAGCGGUGGUGAACUCCACAUACGCAUCGCUGAGGAUACGGUUAGCAGGCGCAACGACGUUCAGCCUCAAAAGCAGGGGCUUGAGUGGGUGAGGGGUGACUGCGUACCUUUGUAUAAUGGGUCAGCGACUUAUAUUCUGCUUAGCAAGGUUAACGAUAAGAGCCGAGGGAGGGAAACCAGAAGUCACUUAACCGGGCGUUAAGUUGCAGGGAGUAUAGGCGAAACACCCGGUGAUCACCAUGGGCGUUGAGAUUUGGGUAACACUAACUGGAGGACGAACCGACUAAUGUUGAAAAAUUAGCGGAUGACCUGUGGCUGGGGUGAAAAGGCCAAUCAAACCGGGAGAUAGCUGGUUCUCCCCGAAAGCUAUUUGGUAGCGCCUCGUAAUUCAUCUCCGGGGUAGAGCACUGUUUCGGCUAGGGGCCAUCCCGGCUUACCAACCCGAUGCAAACUGCGAAUACCGGGAGAGGAAUGUUAUCACAGAGGCACGGCGAGGUGCUAACGUCCCGUCGUGAAGAGAAGCACAACGAACCGCCAGCUAAGGUCCCAAAGUCAUAGUUGAGAGUAGGGAAAAACGAUGUGGGAAGGCGGAGCAGCGAGGAUGUUGGCAAGCAGCCAUCAUUUAAAAGGCGUAAUAACUCACUGGUGCAGUCGGCCUGCGCGGAAGAUGUAACGGGGCUAACCAUGCACCAGCUGCGGCAGCGAACGUAUCGCAAAAGCGAUUCAGCGGGUACGAUUGACGGAGCGAAGCGACGUCCAUGCCUCAAGAAUGGGAGGCCGGUUUAGGGCCGUUAGGUGAGCGAGGAAGCGUUCUGUAAGCCUGUGAAGGUGGCGCAAUGAGGGUUGCUGGAGACGUAAGGGUGCGAAUAACGGCGCUAACGAUAAAGCGGGUGAAAAGCCCGCUCGCCGAAGGUACCGGGACCUGUCCAGCGUUAAUCGGGGCAGUGAGUCAUUAGGCGAGGCCGAAGCGUAGUCGAUAAGGAAGCGGGUUAAUAUUCCCGUACUUGGUAUUGUUACUGCGAAGAGGGGACGAGAAGGCGCUAUGUUGGCCGGGCGACGGUUGUCAGUUUUAAGCGUGUAGGUGUGUUCGAAUCCGGUUUACUUUUAACACUGAAGGCGUGACGACGAGCACUACGGUGCUGAAGCAGCAAAUGCCCUGCUUCGAGGAAAAGCCUCUAGCAUCAGGUAACAUCAUCGUACCCCAAACCGACACAGGUGGUCAGGUAGAGAAUACCAGAGCGCUUGAAGAGAGAACUUUCGGGUGAAGGAACUAUAGGCAAAAUGGUGCCGCUUCGGGAGAAGGCACGCACGCUGACACGUAGGUGAGGUGAUUUACUCACGGAGCUGAAGUCAGUCGAAGAUACCAGCUGGCUGCAACUUGUUUAUUAAAAAACACAGCACUGUGCAAACACGAAAGUGGACGUAUACGGUGUGACGCCUGCCCGGUGCCGGAAGGUUAGUGUGGGGUCGAAGCGCAAGCGAAAGCCUGAUCGAAGCGGUAAACGGCGGCCGUAACUAUAACGGUCUAAGGUAGCAGAAAUUCCUUGUCGGGUAAGUUCGACCUGCACGAAUGGCGUAAUGGCGAGGCUGUCUCCACCCGAAGACUUUCAGUGAAAUUGAGCUUUCGCUGUGAAGAUGCAGUGUACCCGCGGCAAGACGGAAGGGCCGUGAACCUUUACUAUAACGACACUGAACAUUGAGCACUUGAUAUUGUGGCCAGGAUAGGUGGGAGAGCUUUGAAGUGUGGACGCCGGUCUUACGUAGACCGGCAGCGAAAUACACACCACUGCUUUGUGUUUGAUGUUGUCUAAAGUAACGGGUGAAGGUUGGCUGUCACGGUCGGACAUCAGGAGGUUAGUGCAAUGGCAUAAGCCAGCUUGACGCUGCGAGCGUGACGGCGCGGCGGAAGGUGCUGGAGUCGCCAAUGAUCCGGUGGUUCACACGAAUGGAAGGGCCAUCGCUCAACGGAUAAGGUACUCCUGAUCCGGUGGUUCUGAAUGGAAGGGCCAUCGCUCAACGGAUAAAGGUACUCCGGGGAUACAGGCUGAUACCGCCGAGAGUUCAUAUCGACGGCGGUGUUUGGCACCUGAUGUCGGCUCAUCACAUCACAGGGCUGAAGUAGGUCCCAAGGGUAUGGCUGUUCAUAUACAUUUGCAAAAGUGGUACGCGAGCUGGGUUUUAGAACGUCGUGAGACAGUUCGGUCCCCUAUCUGCCGUGGGCUGGAGACGAGGGGGCUGCUCUGGUACGAAGAGGACCGGGUGGACGCAUCACUGGUGUUCGGGUUGUCGUAGCAAUGGCACUGCCCGGUAGCUAAAUGCGGAAGAGAUGAAGUGCUGAAAGCAUCUAAGCACGAAACUUUACCCCGAGAUGAGUUCUCCGCAAAGGACUUUAGGUCUCCCUGAAGGAACGUUGAAGACGACGACGUUGAUAGGCCGGUGUGUAAGCGCAGCGAUGCGUUGGAAGCUAACCGGUACUAAUGAACCACGUGAGGCUUAACCUU
rnacentral:rRNA from 1 species